rnacentral:rRNA from 1 species
UACGGAGGGUGCAAGCGUUAUCCGGAUUCACUGGGUUUAAAGGGUGCGUAGGUGGGCAGGUAAGUCAGUGGUGAAAUCUCCGGGCUUAACCCGGAAACUGCCAUUGAUACUAUUUGUCUUGAAUACCGUGGAGGUCAGCGGAAUAUGUCAUGUAGCGGUGAAAUGCUUAGAUAUGACAUAGAACGCCAAUUGCGAAGGCAGCUGGCUACACGAAUAUUGACACUGAUGCACGAAAGCGUGGGGAUCAAACAGG